GACGAACGCUGGCGGCGUGCUUAACACAUGCAAGUCGAACGGAAAGGCCCUGCUUUUGUGGGGUGCUCGAGUGGCGAAAGGGUGAGUAACACGUGAGUAACCUGCCCUUGACUUUGGGAUAACUUCAGGAAACUGGGGCUAAUACCGGAUAGGAGCUCCUGCUGCAUGGUGGGGGUUGGAAAGUUUCGGCGGUUGGGGAUGGACUCGCGGCUUAUCAGCUUGUUGGUGGGGUAGUGGCUUACCAAGGCUUUGACGGGUAGCCGGCCUGAGAGGGUGACCGGCCACAUUGGGACUGAGAUACGGCCCAUACUCCUACGGGAGGCAGCAGUGGGGAAUAUUGCACAAUGGGCGGAAGCCUGAUGCAGCAACGCCGCGUGCGGGAUGACGGCCUUCGGGUUGUAAACCGCUUUCGCCUGUGACGAAGCGUGAGUGACGGUAAUGGGUAAAGAAGCACCGGCUAACUACGUG
rnacentral:rRNA from 1 species